AAAACACAUCUGUGUAAGUUUGUGGUCAACUAUGAAAACUGUGAACUCAAAAGCGUUGAGAUUAACAUGUGUAAAGAUUUGCUGCCUGAUGAAACAGAUGUUUCAAUAGUUGAGGGUCCUUUCAACUUGUCCUCAAACAGUUCAGCCAGCGCUGGCUCCAGUUCAGACUGAAAAGCAUGUUGCAGGAUUAUCAAGUUUUGCAAGAAAGCUGGAAAAAGCAAGCAAAACUAAACAGAAACCAGAGAUGGAAUUUCUGCAACACAUCAGUUAAUUUCUCAAUAUUGCUUUUACAAAACAAGGACGUAGAUUGCUUCUCAACAGCUAAAAUUUCCUGACUAUACCUUAACAUACUGGUGUGAAAUCUUCAUUAUUUUUUUGAACAAGCUGUAACUUCUCUCCCAUCUAAUUCUUCACCCAUGAAUUCUUGAGUUGUCAUUAACAUCAGCGCUGUAUCUACCCAGAUCUGGUGUGGGUUUCUGAGGUUCUGUAAUGAAAGUUUUCAAACUUGUGAGGCACUUUGGAAUCUUGUCCAAUUGGUCACAAAGGAUCUCUCUGGCCUUGACGUGAACCAAUAGACCCUCCCUUUCCCCCCUGUCCCACGACUCCCAGGAUGGGGAGCUUUGAAACAGAGAAACCUCCAACCAGACACAAGUGCUGUUGAUUUUGGUCAUAAUGGGUAACAUACCACAGCAGACUUGGAGGGCUGGAACAAUUUACCAGGAAGUUCAGCAGGGGAAUGGAGGCAGGAGCUGCCAGCUCUGCACAACUUGCCUUCUACAGAAUUCCUUGUAGACCAGGAAGAGAUGAAGUGCUUCUUCCAUACUCCCUCUCCAGUUCCAUUGGUCACCUUUCCCAGCUCCCAAAGGAAGCCUUCAGCCUCCCCCAUCUCAAUCACAGCCUCUCUCUUCUGGAUACUACCAUUGGCUUCUCACUCCUUUGUGUAACCCUGUCGUCUGUCAUCCUCCAGAUUAACGGGAACCAUCCCUGGAGUCCCUCCUUAGGUUUCCUGGUGCCAUAUUGUUAGGAUAACUUUCUGGGAAACAGUCAGACAAAUGGAGAAUAAAGUCCUGCUGUGCAUUUGGCAGGAAGGCCAUAUCCUCUGUCCAUUCUCCAACAACCCUUAAACAUCAGGGACAAGAACCUGACUCCUCACAAACUGCAGCGGAACACCUCUGCAGUUCUGAGUUUGUUACUCCUCAUGUUACAAUUUAACAUUCAUUCUAUUUCAUCCUGAUUAUUUUAAGUGAGUUUACUGUGCAAGCUGUGUAAGCUGACUUUCACUGUAUGAAUAAAGAACCUGCAAAGCAA